CAGCCGCCGCGGUAAUACGUAGGGGGCAAGCGUUAUCCGGAAUUACUGGGUGUAAAGGGAGCGUAGACGGUUAAACAAGUCUGAAGUGAAAUGCCGGGGCUCAACCCCGGAGCUGCUUUGGGAACUGUAGAACUGGAGUGUCGGAGGGGUAAGCGGAAUUCCCAGUGUAGCGGUGAAAUGCGUAGAUAUUGGGAGGAACACCGGCGGCGAAGGCGGCUUACUGGACGACAACUGACGUUGAGGCUCGAAGGCGUGGGUAGCAGACAGGAUUAGAUACCCCGGUAGUCCCUGUCUCUUAUAC
rnacentral:rRNA from 1 species